UAUUGAAAUGAAUUACGCAGUGUGUCUGAUGAUCGUAAGCACGGCAAGUCAAAACUCCUAACGUAUGCAUAGUUAUACACUGUCAGUAAGUUUUGAGCAAAGUCUGGGUAGUUGGCCCUUCGUCAUCGAUCGUCGUUUGAUCAAUAUCAAUCCAGUAGUUACAGUUCCUCUCGUAACGGUUGAACCACCUAGCCAAUCCAUCAUCCAUGGUACUGCAAAAAGGGCAGUACUACUCUAAUUGACUAUUUCACUACAAAUUCAAAAAAAAAAGGGGAGAAAACGUCACUUUGAAAAAUGCACCCGUUUCAAUAAAAAUGUCUUCCUACCUGCCGUGUCUGCCAUUUACUGUGCAGCCAAUCAUAAGCAAUCAAUGCCACGUCUAAUAUUAAAAAUACUACAAUAAUAGUUAGGUAAUUCAGGGCCGUCGGAUUGGCAGCUUGGGCUGCAGUGGGAGUAACUCGGUCGGACACAGCUCACACACCAGACAUGGGGGAUGAAGGUGUUGGAUAAGGUGCCAAUUUCUGUCACCAAGACAACGAGGUUACGACCGUCAACAGCUAUCACUUCGGUCACAACAUCGGACACGCGGAUGGAAACGUUUCGGCGAACGUUGCCAACAUCGAUUACGAGCAGCUGCACUCACGAUGAUAAUGAUUACGUUGAUCUGCGAUAAUUUGAAAGCAGUUUCAUUAAAUUCAGUCAAUUUGUUAUGCACUAUAUUUUCUGUCAAUUUCUUUCCUGUUCAUAAAAUUUUUUUUUUUCUUUCCUUUGUGAGUAACAAAUCAUGGCCGAACAGCACACAUUCAGUAACAACAGUGAGCUCUAUGAUUUGAAGAAAAUAUAAAAACGAAAACACGUAAGAUGUGAGCUAUACUGGAGCCGUGCCGUUCUGUUUGCUACUGCCGGGCAAGUUUGUUUUACAGCGGGGAGGGAGACACACUGAAUGAAAAUACACACAUGGCACAAUAA